rnacentral:rRNA from 1 species
CAGUAGCCACGGGAAUACAGAGGGUGCGAGCGUUAAUCGGAUUUACUGGGCGUAAAGCGUGCGUAGGCGGCUUCUUAAGUCGGAUGUGAAAUCCCUGAGCUUAACUUAGGAAUUGCAUUCGAUACUGGUAAGCUAGAGUAUGGGAGAGGAUGGUAGAAUUCCAGGUGUAGCGGUGAAAUGCGUAGAGAUCUGGAGGAAUACCGAUGGCGAAGGCAGCCAUCUGGCCUAAUACUGACGCUGAGGUACGAAAGCAUGGGGAGCAAACAGGAUUAGAUACCCCAGUAGUCCCUGUCUCUUAUAA